UACGGGGGGGGCAAGCGUUGUUCGGAAUUACUGGGCGUAAAGGGCUCGUAGGUGGCCAACUAAGUCAGACGUGAAAUCCCUCGGCUUAACCGGGGAACUGCGUCUGAUACUGGAUGGCUUGAGUUUGGGAGAGGGAUGCGGAAUUCCAGGUGUAGCGGUGAAAUGCGUAGAUAUCAAGAGGAACACCUGAGGCGAAGGCGGGUUGCUAGGCUGACACUGACGCUGACAGCGCGAAAGCCAGGGGAGCAAACGGG
rnacentral:rRNA from 1 species